rnacentral:misc_RNA from 1 species
GGUUGCAAUAAUGAAACGUGUUCGUCAUCCAAAUGUGGUUCUCUUCAUGGGUGCUGUUACAAAGCGUCCUCAUCUAUCAAUUGUGACAGAGUACCUGCCUCGGGGUAGCCUAUACCGCCACCGCCUAAUACACAGGCCUGCUGCUGGGGAAAUGCUGGAUCAGAGGCGGCGGUUACGAAUGGCACUGGAUGUGGCAAAGGGCAUCAAUUAUCUUCAUUGUCUGAACCCUCCUAUUGUUCACUGGGACCUUAAAUCUCCAAAUUUGUUGGUUGAUAAAAAUUGGACAGUAAAGGUGUGUGACUUUGGGUUGUCUAGAUUUAAAGCAAACACAUUUAUAUCAUCAAAAUCAGUAGCUGGAACACCCGAGUGGAUGGCUCC